rnacentral:rRNA from 1 species
UACGAAGGGGGCUAGCGUUGCUCGGAAUUACUGGGCGUAAAGGGCGCGUAGGCGGCGCAGUUAGUCAGGCGUGAAAUUCCUGGGCUCAACCUGGGGACUGCGCUUGAUACGGCUGUGCUAGAGGAUGGAAGAGGCUCGCGGAAUUCCCAGUGUAGAGGUGAAAUUCGUAGAUAUUCGGGAGGAACACCGGUGGCGAAGGCG